GGUGUAAUACUACACCACAAACGGCCACCUCUAUGAGCUCCCACACACAUACUACUGUAUAUGUGUGUGGGAGCUCAUUGAGGUGGCCAUUUGUGGUGUAGUAUAUG